CGAUACGACCGUACCGCAAACCGACACUGGUGCGCGAGAUGAGUAUUCUAAGGCGCUUGAGAGAACUCAGGAGAAGGAACUCGGCAAAUUGACACCGUAACUUCGGAAGAAGGUGUGCCCUAUUAGUGUGUAGUGAACAACGAAGCAUGAAUGGGUUGCAAAAAAUCGGUGGCUGCGACUGUUUAUUAAAAACACAGCACUCUGCAAACACGAAAGUGGACGUAUAGGGUGUGACGCCUGCCCGGUGCUGGAAGAUUAAAUGAUGGGGUGCAAGCUCUUGAUUGAAGUCCCAGUAAACGGCGGCCGUAACAAUAACGGUCCUAAGGUAGCGAAAUUCCUUGUCGGGUAAGUUCCGACCUGCACGAAUGGCGUAACGAUGGCCACACUGUCUCCUCCUGAGACUCAGCGAAGUUGAAAUGUUUGUGAUGAUGCAAUCUCCCCGCGGAAAGACGGAAAGACCCCAUGAACCUUUACUGUAGCUUUGUAUUGGACUUUGAACAGAUCUGUGUAGGAUAGGUGGGAGGCUUUGAAGCAGGGUCGCUAGAUCUUGUGGAGCCAACGUUGAAAUACCACCCUGGUGUGUUUGAGGUUCUAACCUAGGUCCAUUAUCUGGAUCGGGGACAGUGCAUGGUAGGCAGUUUGACUGGGGCGGUCUCCUCCCAAAGCGUAACGGAGGAGUUCGAAGGUACGCUAGUUACGGUCGGACAUCGUGACGAUAGUGCAAUGGCAUAAGCGUGCUUAACUGCGAGACUGACAAGUCGAGCAGAUGCGAAAGCAGGACAUAGUGAUCCGGUGGUUCUGUAUGGAAGGGCCAUCGCUCAACGGAUAAAAGGUACUCUGGGGAUAACAGGCUGAUACCGCCCAAGAGUUCAUAUCGACGGCGGUGUUUGGCACCUCGAUGUCGGCUCAUCUCAUCCUGGGGCUGUAGCCGGUCCCAAGGGUAUGGCUGUUCGCCAUUUAAAGAGGUACGUGAGCUGGGUUUAAAACGUCGUGAGACAGUUUGGUCCCUAUCUUCCGUGGGCGCUGCAGAUUUGAGGAAGCCUGCUCCUAGUACGAGAGGACCGGAGUGGACACACCUCUGGUGUAUCGGUUGUCACGCCAGUGGCAUUGCCGAGUAGCUAAGUGUGGAAGAGAUAACCGCUGAAAGCAUCUAAGCGGGAAACUCGUUUCAAGAUGAGAUCUGCCGGGGCCUUGAGCCCCCUAAAGAGUCGUUCAAGACCAGGACGUUGAUAGGUCAGGUGUGGAAGUGAA
rnacentral:rRNA from 1 species